GCCACGACCUUGACGAAGGGGGCCUGUGGAGGACCGUGCAGCCUGUCGAGAGUUUUCGUGUGCUGGCGCGGCCGCGGGAAUGCUUCCCCGCGCGUGUUUUAGGCAGUGAAAAAUGUCACAAAAUAAGUAACACUAAAAGAAGAUAGAAAAUAUUCACAUUGAAGAAACAUUUAUGUUAAGCAGUACUGGAGAGAAGAGACUGUAAGGGAAUGAAGGACUUAACCCCAGCCUGCAUUGUACAAGUCAGAGAACAUCACACCAAGUCAUUGCAACAAAGAGGAGGGGAAAAAAAAACCCAAACCAACUAAAAAAACUUAUUACAUAUCCACAUACUGCCACACAAACUGACCUAAGGAGAAUAAUUUAAAGUCAACAGAGAAGUUUCAUGCAGUCCCCUGUACAAAGACACUGCUGUGUUUGUCCAUAGCUACUUCAGAUAGGAACGGAUUUUCGAGAAGAGUCAAGGAGUUCACUCAAACUAAGAAAGUCUGAUUUUCAAGGUUAGAUGUUUGCCAAGAAUUCAUUUCACUUACGUGAAGAUUCACAUCAUAAGUCACACCCAUCUUCAGAUUUUUGGCCAAAGUGAUUGAAGUUUGAAAAGUUAACGAGGUCCUGACAAAGAUGUGAGGGAAAGUAUCAAAUAACCCAAUAGCAGUGGGUCUGUGUGGGGAGAGCGUCGGUGAUGAGAGCCUGAAAUCCAUUCCAUUGGCACUUCUGGUGGAGGUACAGGUCCAGUCCCAAGGAUAGAAGAUCUACACAUUGGAGAAGAGAGCAAUAGCUCAUGGCUUCAACUGAGGGGUCAGUUUGCACUCAGAAACUACUCUGUGAUGUGAACCAAGUCAUUAAGUUAGGAUGAUCCAGAGAUUUGCUUCAAAACUGCCCCUUGAUCCAAACAAAAAUGCUAAACCAGAUGCACUCAAAGCAAGUAAGUGUUAAAAGUACAUUGCUGUCUUUAGAUCACCUGUGCCUGACUGGCCUCACAAGGAAAGAGCUAUACCCUCAUUUGCCUCAUGUCAAAGAAAGCUGGUUUCCUGUGGAAAAAAGUCAAGACAGUAUUUCCCAGCAAUAUUUUUGACAGCUUCUACACUGUUUUAAAGUGGUAGUAUAUGCAAACAGAGAACAGAUACCCUGUAAAGUCUUCCUUUUUAAACUGGAACUAAAAUUAUAUGCAGGCUGGUCUAGUUCUUGAUACCACUUCCAAGCACAGGAUUACAUGAAUUUGAAAACUGCUAAAAACAUUUAUGUUUGGUUCUUUUUCAUGUGUGUAAAGUUGGCCCCUCUCUCUCAAUUCAUUAGGAAAAGUCAAGUCACCUCAAAAAAAAAAAAAAAAAGCAAUCUGAUUAUGAUCUCAGUGUAAUCCUCAAAAUUACUUAAAUUCCUCUGGUAUUAAUUGUACAGGAUUUUAAGAAGAUUAAAAAUAUUUUCCAUCAGGGAUUAAGUGUAUUUAAUAUUUUAUUGCAAAAUCUCAUGUUCCUUAAUGUCAGGUUAGAAGGAUGCGGAAAAAAAAAAGCCUAAUGACUAAUGUAAGUAAGCUUAUUUUCCUGAAAUUUGCCACUGUGGGAGUAUAACAUGCAUAAAUUGGAAGAAUUGUUAACAACUGUUUAUCUGUGUCUUUUCUGAGUGGGGUUAAAUGAGCUGUUGGUUAAAAUCAAUACGCUAUCCUAACCUCCACUGUACCUUACAUCAGGAUUAGCAAAACUGAAGCAUUCUGCAAACACAAAGCCAGGAGUGUUUU